rnacentral:rRNA from 1 species
UACGAAGGACCCGAGCGUUAUCCGGAUUUAUUGGGUUUAAAGGGUGCGUAGGCGGAUUAGUAAGUCAGUGGUGAAAGCCCAUCGCUUAACGGUGGAAUUGCCAUUGAUACUGCUAGUCUUGAGUAUGGUUGAGGUGGGCGGAAUGUGUCAUGUAGCGGUGAAAUGCUUAGAUAUGACAUAGAACACCAAUUGCGAAGGCAGCUGGCUACACAAAUAUUGACACUGAGGCACGAAAGCGUGGGGAUCAAACAGG